UGUUCUUUAAAUAAGGACUUGUAUCAACGGCACCACGAGGGUUAUACUGUCUCCUUUUUCUAAUCAGUGAAACUAAUCUCCCCGUGAAGAAGCGGGGAUACUACUAUAAGACGAGAAGACCCCAUGGAGCUUUAAACCCAACUACACUCCUAUCCCCAACAACCACUUAACUAAAAGGACACUGUAUGCUUGGUUUUAGGUUGGGGCGACCACGGAGUAAAAACUAACCUCCACGAUGAACGAGCCUAUUCCUCUUAUCUGAGAGCAACACCUCUAAGAAUUAGCACACUAACAUAAAAUGAUCCUUUUCUUGAUCAACGAACCAAGUUACCCUGGGGAUAACAGCGCAAUCCAUUU
rnacentral:rRNA from 1 species